UACGUAGGGUGCGAGCGUUAAUCGGAAUUACUGGGCGUAAGCGUGCGCAGGCGGUUUUGUAAGCCAGAUGUGAAAUCCCCGGGCUUAACCUGGGAAUGGCAUUUGGGACUGCAAGGCUUGAGUGCGGCAGAGGAGACUGGAAUUCCUGGUGUAGCAGUGAAAUGCGUAGAUAUCAGGAGGAACACCGAUGGCGAAGGCAGGUCUCUGGGCUGACACUGACGCUCGAUGCA
rnacentral:rRNA from 1 species